AGAGUUUGAUCCUGGCUCAGAUUGAACGCUGGCGGCAUGCCUUACACAUGCAAGUCGAACGGCAGCACGGGGGCAACCCUGGUGGCGAGUGGCGAACGGGUGAGUAACAUAUCGGAACAUACCCUAGAGUGGGGGAUAACGUAGCGAAAGUUACGCUAAUACCGCAUACGAUCUAAGGAUGAAAGUGGGGGAUCUUCGGACCUCAUGCUCAUGGAGUGGCCGAUAUCUGAUUAGCUAGUUGGUGAGGUAAAGGCUCACCAAGGCGACGAUCAGUAGCUGGUUUGAGAGAACGACCAGCCACACUGGAACUGAGACACGGUCCAGACUCCUACGGGAGGCAGCAGUGGGGAAUUUUGGACAAUGGGGGCAACCCUGAUCCAGCAAUGCCGCGUGAGUGAAGAAGGCCUUCGGGUUGUAAAGCUCUUUUGUCAGGGAAGAAACGGUGAGUUCUAAUACAGCUUGCUAAUGACGGUACCUGAAGAAUAAGCACCGGCUAACUACGUGCCAGCAGCCGCGGUAAUACGUAGGGUGCAAGCGUUAAUCGGAAUUACUGGGCGUAAAGCGUGCGCAGGCGGUUAUAUAAGUCAGAUGUGAAAUCCCUGGGCUCAACCUAGGAACUGCAUUUGAGACUGUAUGGCUAGAGUGUGUCAGAGGGGGGUAGAAUUCCACGUGUAGCAGUGAAAUGCGUAGAGAUGUGGAGGAAUACCGAUGGCGAAGGCAGCCCCCUGGGAUAACACUGACGCUCAUGCACGAAAGCGUGGGGGAGCAAACAGGAUUAGAUACCCUGGUAGUCCACGCCC
rnacentral:rRNA from 1 species